rnacentral:rRNA from 1 species
GAGUUUGAUCAUGGCUCAGAACGUACGCUGGCGGCACGCCUAACACAUGCAAGUCGAACGAAGUAGCAAUACUUAGUGGCAGACGGGUGAGUAACAUGUAGGUAUCUGCCCUAUGGCCUGGAAUAACACGAGGAAACUUGUGCUAAUACCGGAUAAGUCUUUACGGAGAAAGCUUUAUGCACCAUUGGAUGAGCCUGCACUUGAUUAGUUUGUUGGUGGGGUAAUGGCCUACCAAGACUGUGAUCAAUAGCUGAUUUGAGAGGAUGAUCAGCCACAUUGGGACUGAGACACGGCCCAAACUCCUACGGGAGGCAGCAGUGGGGAAUCUUGCACAAUGGAGGAAACUCUGAUGCAGCGAUGCCGCGUGAGUGAAGAAGGCCUUUGGGUUGUAAAGCUCUUUCGUCGGGGAAGAAAAUGACUGUACCCGAAUAAGAAGGUCCGGCUAACUUCGUGCCAGCAGCCGCGGUAAUACGAAGGGACCUAGCGUAGUUCGGAAUUACUGGGCUUAAAGAGUUCGUAGGUGGUUGAAAAAGUUGGUGGUGAAAUCCCAGAGCUUAACUCUGGAACUGCCAUCAAAACUUUUCAGCUAGAGUAUGAUAGAGGAAAGCAGAAUUUCUAGUGUAGAGGUGAAAUUCGUAGAUAUUAGAAAGAAUACCAAUUGCGAAGGCAGCUUUCUGGAUCAUUACUGACACUGAGGAACGAAAGCAUGGGUAGCGAAGAGGAUUAGAUACCCUCGUAGUCCAUGCCGUAAACGAUGUGUGUUAGACGUUGGAAAUUUAUUUUCAGUGUCGCAGGGAAACCGAUAAACACACCGCCUGGGGAGUACGACCGCAAGGUUAAAACUCAAAUGAAUUGACGGGGACCCGCACAAGUAGUGGAGCAUGUGGUUUAAUUCGAAGAUACGCGCAGAACCUUACCAACACUUGACAUGUUCGUCGCGACUCUAAGAGAUUAGAGUUUUCGGUUCGGCCGGACGAAACACAGGUGCUGCAUGGCUGUCGUCAGCUCGUGUCGUGAGAUGUUGGGUUAAGUCCCGCAACGAGCGCAACCCUCACUUUUAGUUGCCAUCAUUUAGUUGGGCACUCUGAAAGAACUGCCAGUGAUAAGCUGGAGGAAGGUGGGGAUGACGUCAAGUCCUCAUGGCCCUUACGUGUUGGGCUACACACGUGCUACAAUGGUAUCUACAACAGGAAGCAAAACUGCGAAGUUAAGCAAAUCCCUAAAAGAUACCUCAGUUCGGAUUGCACUCUGCAACUCGAGUGCAUGAAGCUGGAAUUACUAGUAAUCGUGGAUCAGCGUGCCACGGUGAAUGCGUUCCCGGGUCUUGUACACACCGCCCGUCACACCAUGGGAGUUGGUUCUACCUUAAGGCAAGGUUUCAAACCCUUGACCACGGUAUAGUCAGCGACUGGGGUGAAGUCGUAACAAGGUAACC